rnacentral:lncRNA from 1 species
GCUAGUGCACUCAAAUUGAGAACACAGCUUCACAGGCAGAACACAACACACAGAUGCAAGGUCUCCUGAUGGCAGAAAACCUUAUAACAUGCUUCAGGUGACUACAGCCAGCUCCAGAGGUUCCAAAGAUCUUAAAGAUGUCCCAGAAAAGUUCUAGAGUACUAUCAGAUCUCACACUUUGCCUUGGAAGCUGUCAUUCCCCUCCAUUGGCCCCACAACUGCAGUAUAAUCUUCAGUGACAGGAGAAAAUCGACCUUGUUUGUACAGAAGUCUCAGCAGGAAUAGGCAGAUGCCUGUUUUUGCUGCCAAGGAUGGAGGAUUGGAAUGGGCCCAUUAUAUAUUUUGAGGCUUUGAAGAAAAGUCUCAGGAUAUGUUUUCCCAUUAAAAUACUGUUAUAAACAAUUAGA